GUCGUAAACUACUUACCGUGCUUCUCCAUGAUUUAAACUGUUCUGGAAAAGAAAGGAUAUCUGGUGUUAGCUCAUCAUCUACCAGAUCUAUCUACCCAUCUAUCAUUUACAGGAGAGAUGUGACUGUUCAAUGUAUCCACAAACUAUUCAGGCGCCCGGCUGGCUCAUCCUCCUGAUUCCUGUAGUCUAGGCUGAUCUGCUUACUCAAAUGGUUGGGUUUGAACCUCGUCUCUAUACUCCUGUGCUCAGUAGGACUGUGGGAGUCUUUUUAGUGGCCCUAAUUGGUAGUCACAUUCCUAAGAGUCUUUGGAAAGAGGAUCCAAGGAGGACCACUGUGAAAGACCCUCCACACAACCAGAGGCAGAAAUUAGUCUUCAGAACAUGCACUUCUAAAAGAAGCAUGGAGCCCAUGUAUGAGCCUCUGAGUUUGGCUGUAGGAAUGGUCCAGCAACAGAGGAGAAGUAAAUUUCCAGGGUAUUGGACUGGAGUCUGGAAUCUAGGGUCUGUGUGGACUGUCCUGCCUAACCCAAGCCACAAAUUUGAGAAAGUCUGGUAUUCUGCUCUGUAGAUUAAAAGUUGCUCUUCACAAAGUGAAUCUACUUAUGGUUCUAAGAGACCAGCUAUCUGACAAUCCAAGUGAUUCUGUGCCUGACUAUUUCUGCAGCAGCGUGCAAAAUUUUUACUCAAUACUGCUCCAUUCCCCAUAGUUGAACCCCAUUUUUGCUUUCUCUGCUCUAUCCAGGUACCAUAUUCUGAACUGUAAAUGGCAACUCAUUCCAUGUCUACUGACUACAACCGAAGCAUAUGAGGCAGAAAUUCUGUUACUCAAAACUUUUAUCCUGGACUCUCAUGAAUGUAGUUGACCCCACAUCUUCUCUGGCACAUUCCGGUGUUGCUGGCUGUCCUUUUACUCCUUCUACUGUGCACUUCCGAGUGACAAAACAUUCAUCAAUGUGUCUACAUAGAUAAUUAAUUCCAGUGUUCUCAAGAAACAAUUGCCACCUUCUGUACCAUUUCAUAAUUUUUUUCUUUAGCACAGACAAUUAAGUUUAAAAUUUCAUAUCUUAAUGAAAUACCUAAGAUUUCUAAGUAGUAUAAUCCCAUUUAUAUGUACUUUAUAAGCAAGAAGUUCAACAGCGGUUUAUUACAGCUCCAUAGGUUUACUGUACUCUAGAAUAAAUCUAAAAAAUCUUGUGUUGUUCAUUUAAAUUUCUGUAUUUACUUCAAACAAUAAGUACAUGAGUAUGCAUUAACUGACCAAAAAUAUAAAUAUUUAUGUUUUGCGCCAACUAACCCAUAGGGAUAAUAAUGAAUUAAUAGGCAUAUGUAAUCACAGUAGACUUAAAGGUUGUAUAGGGCUAUAUUAAUCCUUCAGAAUUCAUUAUAUAUAUAUAUAUAUGAUACACACAUAUAUACACACACAUAAAAAGUUCACACAUAUUUUCUCAACAUCAAAUUUCUAUUAUAAAAGCUUAUGCACUGAAAAGAAUAUCAGUUUUCAUUAAGCAUGCUAACAGUACCUUAACAGAUGUAUCAAAUUGAAAGGUAAACAAAUCUUGGUCUAGCGAGAGGUGGCAUCCCAUCUUUAAUAUUUGUGUUAAAUGACCAAAUUUUUACCCGCACCAUUUCUACUUUUAAGAAUCAUUUAUUUUUUUGUAUGUGUUUGAGUGGCUUUACUUGCAUGUAUGUAUGCAUGUAUGUACAUGCAGUGUGAGCCUACUGCAUGAGGAGGCCAGUAGAGGGCUCUGGAGGCUCUGGCACUGAACGUACCAAGGGUUGGAAGGUAUCCUGUGGGAUGAUGUCACAGGUACAAGAUAGAAUGAGGCCUGUCAUUGGACGAGAAGGACGGAUGGGCGGGAGAAAAGUUUGAAAGAGGAGGAGGAGAUGGGAACCGAAGAGGAGAGGAAGGAGAGAAGCUGUGGUGGGACAAUAUGGAGGCUGGCAUUAAGGUUCCAUGUACAGGUUGUUGUGAAUGUUCUUAAGGGAUGGAUGUGUACUGGGCUUUGCAGUUUAGGUGGGCAAUUAUAUCUUAUCAACUGGAUCAGAGGUUAUUGUGUCGUGUGCUCUUUCGUGUGCAGAUUUAAGUGUAAGGGAGUGUGGGGCGGCUAGUCUGGGCCGCCACGGAAUUGGAAUGUGUGCUUCUGGGAAGAUAUCUAGCAGAUAUCUUGGGGCACUACAGUUCUGGACCUAGAGCGGAUAAAAAGACUGUUCUCUUUUUAUAUUUUUACAACAGCAGCAUCCUAUCGUGUGGGUGCUGGGACCCAGAGGUUGGUCCUCUGCAAGAUCUGCAAGGACCACUGAGCCAUCUCACCACUCCCAUGCUCCUUAUUUCUUAUGCCGCUGUUUAACGCACUUAGCUUACAGAGAUCUAUGGCCUCAACUCAACAAGAACUUUAAAGGGUUGCAGCUUUCUGUUAUUUUCAUCUUCCAUCCAGUCAAACAACUUCAUAUUUCUUACAUUUGGUAAACAAAGCUCUUAACUUGAAAAAAAAAAUCCUGUCAUAGUUAUUGAAUUCCAAUUAUAAAAUGCGAGCAGUUCCCUCUCCCUAACUCAUCCAAUGUUCAAGAUGAACCAGCUCAACAGUUCAAUCUUUGAAAAUACUUUAAUUAAAAACACCUUUUCUUCUCAUGGUGGGACACAAGCAAACAUAUAAUACCUACAUGUAAACAUACCUGUACACAUGUAUGCAUACCACACAGAGUGAAAAGUAAAAUGUGUACAUAUGUUUAAUGCAGAUAGUGUAUGUUUGCAUGUGUAGACCUGGGCUACAGUUUAGAGAGCCGAAAUUGACCCUGGUAUCUUCCUCAGUUGUAAUUUACCUUAUGUAUUGGGGCAGGACUCCCACUGAACCUACAGUUUGCCAAUUCCUGCUAGUCUAUCUAGACAGCUUGACUGUGAAAAUCUUUGUUGACAAAUAUUUCUUCUUAGGAUGUGGAAAGAGGGGAAUUCCAAAGCCAUGUCAGGUGGACCUUAAGAAUGUGGUGGUGUAAUAAGAUUCUGUCUGUAUAACAUAACCCACUGAGAAGCCACUGGGUUUGUUUGUCUUGGGGCUAAAGGACAAUUUCCUCCUUGCACAGAAAUCCCCAAACUGUGCUCAUUUGUCAAUCCUGGAUGUUUUCUUAAUACUCUAAUUCAUAAUUUUGAGGCUUGAUCUAUGUUUGUGAGGAGAAGCGCCCAUUAGAAAAACUGCUGUGGAAUAAAAUGUGGGAUCUCAUUCCCAGGGGAGGGUUUAGAACAGCCCAGGAUUUAAAAUGCUGUGUGUGGAAUCUAGAGCAGAAUGUUAGGUGGCCACUAAGCCUUUGCAUGUGCCACUUAGAAUAGAGACCCAUAUGUGUAAUGAAUGAAGGCAUUAAACGCACAGCUGCCUACCCAGACUGCUCUCCUUAGCUGUAGAAAUGACCCCUCUGCCUUCUUUAACCUUACUGGAGCCUUGUCAGCCCAAAUGUCACCCAGCUUUAAAAAUAACUUGAAACUGUGUCCCCAGUUGCAGCAUGUCACCCACAUUUUAUCCUGAUGAUUUUUAAAUAACGUUUUCUGCUCUUAAUUUUUUUUUUGUUUCAGGAGGUUUCUAUGAAAAAGAAAAUGAUAUUUGUGAUGUCUCUAAUAAAUAUAUAAACUGCACCAAUGAUAUGCAAUUACCCAGAACAAAUGAGAAACUUCAAGAAAUACCUCCUGAUUACUAUUAUCUUCUUGGUUACUAUAUUAUGUGACACAUUUAUGGAAAAUUGUGGCACCCUAUACAUAUUAAUGAAAGUCUAUAUAAUACAAUUAUGUAAUUUCUGGGUUUUUUUUAUUAUUACAACCUCAAGUUUCCAUUUCAUUUCUAGUUUUUUUAAUUAAAAUUUUUAAUUAAGAAGUGCUUGCUUUUAAGUGUGUAUGAGGCAUGCAAGCAUUUGUCUAUAUGUGUUUGCGUGUGUGCUGAUAUGGACUGAGGUUUAGAGAGCCGCAGCGGACACCCGGCAUCUUCCUCAAUUUCACUUCACCGUCUUUACUGACGCUGGCCAGUUCUAGCCAGUUCUAGCUCAUCUAUCUAGUGAGCUUGACUAUUACUCUGGUCACAGCCUCUGUUUCCUGUCAGCUGGGAUUUCAGGCAGUGGCCGCAACUGUCUGGCUUCUAUGUAGAUUCUGGUAAUUCCCACCUCCAACCUCCAUGCUUGCAUAACACGUUCUUUAUCUACUGAGCCAUCUCCUCAGUUCUUUUCUGAGUUUUCUCCGAAUUGUAAAACAUUCCCAUCUGAGACUGGGAGAUAGUACGAGGGAUUCACAUCAUGUCUCCACAAUUCAGAAAAUAAGUAGCUUGAGGCUAUUUAACCAGAAUUUACCUGUUAGUGCAUACAUGAGAACACACGCCUGCCUGUAAACCACCCAGUGGACAAGUUAAACUCACGUUUCUCUUCACAGCCCAAAUGUCAACACAUGGCUCUGUGCAACCCAGCAACACUCUACUGCUUUUAAACCAUCAUUAGAAUCCCGAAGAGCUGACCAGUUGAGUGAGAGACUUCGUGGUGGGUAAAGGGGAAAGAAAAAAAAAAGCUGUGAUAGAAAAAGUGGUAAAGCAAAAUUGUGACAGUGAAGUCACAUAUCAAAUACUUUCCAGGUUCUUUUAGUUGUGUUUGGGUCACAAAUCAAAUAAUUUUUAGGUACAUUUUAGCUCCACUUUUUUAGGUAGGUUUUGUAGUUUUGGAAAGGUUUAGUAAAUACUUAGAAGGAAACAUUCCAUCUGUCAAAUUGUGGCUUCAGCGAUUGUCAAACCGAGGCAGAUGAGUAUGAAAAUAUAUUUCCCCAAAUGGUUCAAUGCAUUUCCACAAUGCUUCAAGGCAUUGGUGAGCGUUUGGGGAAACAGAACCCCUGAUUGUGCACUUAUACCAGAAGUACAUUGCUUACAAAUGCAAUAUCCUUUGAAAGAGAAUGCUUCCUUCUCAAAAUCCACCUCACUAUUUCAUGGUCACAAAAAGCAAACAAGCUUAAACUCUGAAGGAGACAUGGGCAAGCUUUGAAUGAAAAUAGAUUAUAUGCCAACUAGAAUCCACUGAACACACAGUCGUCAAGUGUUCUACAAAAAUAAGAUGUAAAUUUAAAGAAGCAAAAACACAUCUCAAAAUCCAGUUAUUCUUACUGGGGUUCCUACAUGAUUGCAAAAUACCUUCUGGGAAGCCAAAAAAUUUUACAUUAAUUUGAGGUGAGUUUUUUUUGGCUUACUUAUAAAUGAAGCCCCUGAGUUCACUGAGCCAAGGUUGUUUACUGCUGCUCAGUUCACUAACUAGAUGAAUUAAAGCAGCUCAUUUCCAUAUCUUCCUAUCAUUAUCUCUGGUUUAAUGAAAAAAAAAGAAAGAAAGAAAGAAAGAAAAAGGCUCCCAACCUUCUACCAAGUGAAAUUUGUUAGCAAGUAUUUUAAAAGGGCACUCGUUUUUUGUAAGAUAGCAAAGCCUAGGGUUCCAGUUUACUUUUGGUGUCAAUCUUUUAGUGACUAGGUAAGUUCCCCCCACCCAAAAUUUUAAUUUGAAAAAUACAAAGACUUGUUAAAACACUUAACUAAAUACAUAGUUUCAACAAGCUCUAUUUAUUUCAUACUGUUCUACUACAAUAGUAUGUUGUGCACACACAGGCAUAUAUGCUUGUAUAAAUAUUUCCUGAGGAAAUAUUCACCUGUGUUUCCAAGGGGGUAUUCAUGGAUACCAGAGUUUAUUCUAUCUACACUCUCUACACAGUGUAUACACUGUUUACAAUGUGUACAGAGACAGCAAAAUUCUCUAAGUCUACACGACAGUGUUCAGCGAGCGCUACACACAGGUGAUGUUGCUCAGGUCGAGGCCCUGAAGCUAAAACCUCACCUCAUGCAGGGGGAAUGAACAAACUCUGAGUUACACAGCAGAGAAAGGAGAGGUCACGUUGCUCUGUCCAGAAGCAGGGACUCUCUUUGGUUUAGCAACAGUCUAUUUCUUUAUGUUUGUUCAUUAUUCAAAGGGGCACAAUUUUUGUAAGAAUCCAGGUAGAAAGCUCUGUUGUUAGCAAAACUCAAGGAACCACACUCUCCCACCCUCAAGUGCCUGGUGCUUUUUGUUAAGCUUCACUGGCACCUACUACUUAGUUCCAACUGGUAAGCCGGAAGAAAGUGUAAUUGUUUGUCUUGGAACAGGGGAGGUGGCCAUACCCAACUUCCAGGAAUAAGAUUACAGAAAUCAAGCCACACAGGAACCAGCGGGGAGAGUUGUAGGCGUGGGAGCUGUGUCAAGUAUUUAAUCGAAUAAACGCUAGUUUUCCACUUGGUUCUUUAUUCAGUUUAUAUUAACUGAUGCAAAAGUAACGACUCUUUUUGUUGUUGUUUUGGUUGGUUUUCCUCUGUUUUGUUUUUCUCCAGACAGGGUUUCUCUUGCGUAGCCACGGCAGUCCUGGAACUUGGUCUACAGACAAGGAAAGCGAUGAAUGCACCUGAAGAAACCCUGUCAGAAUGCAAGGUAUGUAACGGAAGACUGAAUCUGCGCCUCCUGGUCCUACCCACCCUGACCUUUAACCCCGUACAUUCCCUACUUUUAUAUUUAGAAUGCUAUGCAUAGUUUGAGUUCUAGCCACAAUCCCAAAGAACACCCUUGUUAAAGAGCUAGCAGGCUCUUUGAACAAUUUCUCUUCUUUUUUUCCCUUUCCUUUUCCUGCAAUGGGACUCCAGCUUGGGCUCUGCGCAUUUGAAAAGAGCGCUAUCACAGAGCCGCUCUAGUGUGUGAAGCAGUGUGCUAAACUGAAAACGAUCCGGUAGGAACUAGCAAAGAGGUGACAAGAGUGUGGAUUCCGAGCAGCGGGCAGGACAGCAGGGCUUCUGGCUGAGUUCCCUUCCCACUUCCGGGGUCACUGAGCCCAAGUCUUUCGGCCAUUUCUCCUAGGCUCCAGACCAUAACCUCUGCCGUAUGAGCAAACCGCCCCCAGUCCUUGCUCCUGCUUGCUCCUCCCGCCCCCCAGUAAACCCCUGCCAGCCCCACGCCCCAUCACCGUGCCCAGCUCCGGUGCGCGCACAGAUCGCGAGCUCAGUCCGGGACAGCAUGGAAUGUGGACUCACCUGAGGCUCCUUCUGCUCUGAGGUCUGCAAGGUGGACAGCUGGCUCCUGGCAGUCGUGAGUCCCAACCCCUUGCUAGUGGUGCAGCUGUCGCACAGCUCUCCCUAAAGCCUCUCAGAGGGACUCACUCUGGAUGACGCGAGCCAGCACUCCAGAAUCCUCCAACUGCGCCCAAGGGGCCAGGCGACAGUCCACCUUGCCUGCCCCGCCCAUGGGCUACGCAAAAGGAAGUGGGAUUUUGAUGGCCUUGGAAGGGAAGGCUACUCAUCACCUGGGGAGUGGCCUCUACUGGGAACUUUCUUUACAUUGCCCCAUCUCAACUACUCAACCUAUUUGGGUUCUGUGGAAGAAAUCGAGUUUCCUCAAAAUUACUUAACUGCUUUUCACACUUUCCUAAGUGGUAACAUCAAUUACCACAUCUGUUCCAUCCGCCCUGUUUGCACUUUCAAGUUUGUUGAAUUCUUUUCCUAGCAGCAUUUUACUCCUCUUUUUAAAAGUCUCACGGCUUUUAUAUAACCGUCUGAAGUCUUUUGCUGUUAGCAGUCUUUACUUUCUUUUUACUACAGAUUGUGGGAAAGUACCACCCUUAACUAGAAAACAUUCAGGUUUGGUUUGAACUACUGCUCGAUCACCAAAAAUCAGCAUCUGCUUUGUGUAGUAAAAUGGUGCUUCUCAAAUUACAGCCGGAGAAGAAACACCCAGCUAAAACUGCAUUUGAAGGUCAUACCUUCAAAGUUUCUGACUUACUAUGCCAGGUGUGGACAUUUCUAAGAAAUUUCCCUAUGACACGGAAGGUAUUUUUUCCUGCCUGCAUUUUAUGAAUCAUUUGAUAUUCUUGGGGGAGGGGAGGUUAUGAAAGGAUGAUGAAAGGGUUACAGGUGAAUUUUGAUUAGUGAGCUCACUCUUCUUUCCCAGUGAUUGGUGCAUUUCUAAGUAUAUUCAACUAAAAAUCUGGGGAGCGUCUUGGGAAGAGCUCACUACUUUUAUUGUGUAUGUAUUUCUGGACACACAUAAGUACCUGUGUGCACUCAGUAUAUUGUUCUUCCAUGGAAAAGUGAACCUCUACAAAAGGAGUCUGAGAGCGUGGCACUCUGAUGCUGAGAAAUGAACCCUGAACUCAACAUAGCUCAAGGUGGUUUGUAACCUCAACUGGCUUGCUGGUAGGAACUCGUAUUUAUCGUCACUCUUAACCCGAUUUUCUACUCAGACCAAACAAGGAUCUUCACUACCCUCUCUUUGCAUAAAUGGGCUCAUUUCAUUUGAAUGUUAUAGUAUAGUUAUAGCUAUUCGCUAGUCCUUUUAUUUGUUUUAACGUAAGCAGUUGACGUUUAUUUAUAGGUAAUACCUUGAAGAGCUUUUCAGCAUUAGGGCAGUCUGUCUAAGUAAGAGUCUUCCUACUGCUUUCCCCUCUGUUGUGUCUCCUAGGCUAACCGUUGUUACCAGCAGCUCCGAGACUCUUGGCCACAGGGGAAUCCAUGAGGUGGAGCUUCAUGGGCAGCCGCUGACAGCUGGUGGCUCACUUUGUGUUUGCUUCCCUGCCUAAUGUCUUCGUACCUCAGGCCCACUCUUCUUAGAAACUUUUUUCUAAGUUUUCUACUUAGAAAAACUAUCCUUAGCAAACGAUUUAAAUGUUGAAUGACUAUGCUGAUUCCUUAUUACUAACAGGAGGUCGAGUUAUUUUAGGUAAUGUUUGCGUCUUCCCACCUUCCAAACUUUAAUGUCCUAAAGUAUUAAACAGGUAACAACUGAAUGGACAUGUUCCUGUUUGGUGGCUGUGUGAUGUGGGGUGUGUGUGUGUGUGUGUGUGUGUGUGUGUGUGUGGUAUGGUGUGGUGUGUGUGUGUGUGUGUGUGUGUGUGUGGUAUGGUGUGUGUGGUGUGUGUGUGUGUGUGGUGUGGUGUGUGUGUGUGUGUGUGGUAUGGUGUGGUGUGUGUGUGUGUGUGUGGGGUAUGGUGUGUGUGGUGUGGUGUGUGUGUGUGUGUGGUGUGGUGUGUGUGAUGUGUGGUGUGGUGUUAUGGUGUGUGUGUGUGUGUGUGUGGUGUGGUGUGUAUGGUGUGUGAUAUGUGUGGUGUGGUAUGGUGUGUGUGUGUGUUUGUGGUGUGGUGUGUGUGUGUGUGUGUGUGUCUGUGUCUCUGUGUGUGUGUGUGUGUGUGUCUGUGUGGGUGUGUAUGUGUGUGUGUGUAUGUGUGUGUGUGUGUGUGUGUGUGUGCUUCCUAGAAGUAUACUAAGCCCCAGGCUGUGUAAUCUUUAGUAUACGUCUUUCCAGGUAGUUCGAGGCUUUAACAUAUGGUCCAUAAGCAAAGGAAGAGAAAGGGCUUAGCCACGAAGGGUGGUCCCAGGAGCCAGGGAAUGAGCUGAUAACACCUAUCACUUCUAUUCACCUCCUGUAGUCUGGAUUAGGUUAAAAAGACACACAACUUUCCCGACAGGAUUGGAAAUGCAGGGUGGAGCCUUCCCAGAAAGAGAAAGAAUGGAAUUUCCUAUUGAGGAAAAAAAAAGUACUAUCAUUAGGGAGUUUCCACUAAAAUUAAAACAAGAGCUCCUCUUAAAUAAAUGAGCAACCAAGUCUUUAAGCAAAUCUAGAUCUUUUUACUUAAAAGAACUAUUUCCUUACGUUUAUAAGAAAAAUAAAUAAAUAACUCCAAAUAUGUCAUAUAUUUAAUCCAAAGCUUUUCAGGUCCCUUGACGAAGUGGAAAGUUGACAUUUUAAAAUAAUAGUGUAUAGAAGAAGCUCAUCAAGGUUAUCCAGAAUUUAUGGCUACAAAAUCGUAUAGAUUACACAAAGAAGUUAUUCGGAAAGAAAGAACAGUGAUGAUAGCUUUCUAUGACACAUGGUUCCACUAAGUUUUAAAGGAAAAAGUAGGAAGCAGCCAUGAGUAGAAGGCAGAACUAAUGUAAAGAGAGGUGGUCAGGUACUUCAAGGAUACAAACAUGCAUAGUUUCAGCAGAAAGGUAUGGAUGGAACCACAGAGACUCCUACGUUUGCAACAGAGACCAAAUAUUGCAGGAUGGUUGAUCACACAGUGAACCCUGAGAUUGUGUUCACCAAAAAACCUGAUUCUAGUUGUCCUGUGGCUCAGCUGCAACACACACCUUUAAUCUCUCUGGCUAGCAUCCAGAAACACCCUUAGUACACACCUUUAAUCCCAAGCAAUAAAGGUAAAAUUAAUUUAUAGAACAAACCGCCCAAGUUUGAACAUGAUGUCUAAUUGAGUGGCAGACAAAGUGAUGAAUCAGAGAAAGAUCUGACAAAAUAGGAUAUACCCAACUCUCAUGACAAGAUAAAGAAAGGGGAAGGUUCUUGAGGGGCCGUGAAGAGACAGAGAGGGAGGUAGUGUUACCAGGAGAGUUACAGAGACAAGUUACGGAUGGAAUCAUCCAGACACAGGCAGAGACAGACCAAGUCAGAAAAUGAGAAGGAGCCAGGAGAUUAGAACAGAUUGCCAGAGUCAGUAGGAGGUGAAGAAGAGCAACUCAGUCAGACACUGAGAGAAGCCAGAUUGAUUCAGUCAACUUGGAGAGAAGUUUGAGCUAGAGCAGCUGAGUUGAACCAGACAGCCAGAGUUAGUUAAGAAAGAACCAGAAGGGCGAAUUCAGCAGUAAGUCCCAGAGGCUGAAAAUAGUCUAGACUUAAAUAAGACUGUACAGAGGCUAGAAAAUUCCAGGCCUAGGCCUAGGCUAGCUGACUGAGGCAAAGGGCCUCCAAAGCGAUAAUUACAGGAGACUAAAAGUUACUUUUAAAACCAAAACUUGUGUUCCUUUUUCCAAUGGAAAUAAUUGAAACUGAGCAGUGGUUGUUUGCCCUAGAAUGUAUUUCCUUGUUUCCAGGUGUGAUUGAAAUAGUACCAGUGUCAUCGAAGAAACAAGGCUGUUACUUCUAAGACAGGAAUCUAAAGAUUAGAUGUGCUUUCAUUGUCCCACUGUCCUUCCAGUACUUUAUUGUAGAUGGUAAGACCUCACGUUAGAUUAAAGCAGAAUGAUCUCUCAGUUCUAAAAUACUGUCUCAAAUUCUCUUCUAAGUGCUAAGAUCUGUUCUUCAAUCAGAGAAAGUUCAUCUUGAUAACCAAGUAUAGGGAAACUGUGUUCAGCCGCUAGCAUUAUAUAAUCUAACCUGGAGAGGUUGAAAUGGGGCUAUUGAGUCCAAGGGCUUGUAAUGAAGACAUUCCAUUUUAUUGUGGAAGGUAGAAGAGGGUGUUAUCUAAUUAUAAGUACAGGAAAGACACUAUUAGGUUCUUGUUUGUAAAGACGAGGUAAGAUUUGUAGGACAAGAGAAACAAGUACAGGGGAGAUUAUUUUAUUGACAUCGUAAACCGUUUGAUGUGAUAUUGAGAUACUGAGUCAGUAUUUAGUAAUAAAAAAAGAGGAGUGGGCAAGAGCGAAUAUAAUCAAAGCACAUUAUGUGAUGUAUGAAAAUGUCAGAAUGAAAAGUCACCUUGUAUAAUUAAUAUACCCUGAUGAAGAGGAAUAAGCAGUCUUUAGUAACUAAAUAGUUUUAGAGAGGAAAGAGAAUUGUCACAGGAUGUUCCUACCUUGAAAAAUGGACCAUGCUCAAAUUCAGAAAACAUUAUAAAGGAGAUCUGAAGAAGAGCUAGAUUGACCUAGUUUGCAAUCUUGUAAGAUGUCAAAGUGAAGAUAACUUUAUUAAGAUAUAGUCCUGGCCACUUUUUUUUUUUUUUUUUUGAGUGAGGAGCUAGCACUUGGUGGAGAAACUGAAUCCAUUUAACAGAUUGAUUAAUUAAUCUAAAUGUUAUAGAGAGCCUGUUUGAGCAGAGUAGUGGUGGCAUUCGCCAUUAAUUCCAGCAUUUGGGAAAUAGAAACAGUCUAAUCUCGGAGCUCAAUGCCAGCUUGUUCAACAGACUGAGUUCAGGACAGCCAGGGCUACACACACACACACACACACACACACACACACACACACACACACACACACACACACACAAACACACAGAGAGGGUUGGUGUGGGGGAAGAGAACCCUGCAGCAACUUGAAGUCAGGUGCCUAGCAUAACUGUCAUCUGAGAGGCUUCACCUAGCACCUGAUGUAAACAGAUGCAGCGACCACAUCCAAGCAUAGGCAGAGCUUAGGGAGUCCUGUGGAAGAGGAGGAGGAAGGAUUGAAGGAGCCAAAGAAGUGAAGGACACCACAAAAAAAACCUAGAGUAUCAACCAACUUGGAGAAAGUGGACCACCAAACAGAGAGCACACAUGGGACAGACCUAGGCCCCUUGCACACGGGUAAUAAUUGUGCACCUUCAUGUGGACUUCCUAAGAGCAGGAGGAAGGGCUGUGUUUGACUCUGUUACCUGCCUUUGGAUUCCUGUCCCCUAACUGGACUGCUUCGACGAACCACAAUAGAAAAGGUGCCUAGUUCUAGUGCAUCUUGAUAUACAAAGGCGGAUUAAUAUCCACUCCAUUUUCUGAGGAGAAAAAGAGGAUUGGAGGAGGUGGGGAGGGGAGGGGAGCAGGAGGACAGAGGGAAGGCUUCUAACAGGAUGUAAAUUAAAUAAAUUAAUUAGAGAGAGGGGUAGGGAUGGAGGGAGGGAGGGAGAGAGAAGGGGGGGAUUCUUGUUUUUUAAGCAUGAGUGAGUCCUGAGGGCCCAAAAUUUGACAUAGACACUGAACCCAUCAAAGAGACUAAUCAAUACUCUGAACUGAUAGAGCAGGUCCCCUGGUCAGGUCAGGUGUUGACACAAGGGACACACUCAAGUUUAAAGACUAUGGAUCCUUUACUUCUUCCUGUAAGAGGAAAGGUGUAACAAAGAGGGGUGUGGAAAGGAGAAAAGCUUGUUUUUAUGAUACUCUUAAUGAGAAAGGGCUCUCCGAUGACGGUGACGCUGCACAUUUGAGAGAAUCAAAAAGAAUGAGUCUGACUGAGGUGACCCAGCCUUACUCCUAAGGUAAUCAUAGUACCUAGUUACCCAAGCGACACCUAAUAGCAAUGAAAGAGCUCACACAUAGCCCAGUGUUGACCACAAUGUCUAGUUUAUUUUGUCCUCUACCUUCUCUAGUUGCAGAGGGGGAAGAGGAAGAAUCAGAAGUCACACUAUGCAAUUCUAGAGCCAUAAUCAAUCCCUUGUUGACUGACUGUCACAGAGUGUGAAAGAAGGUAGAACCGCUCCACGGGGUUUCUACCUCAGGGGCUCAGCGCUCCUUUUCCCUUUUCUAUUUCCUCCAUGCAGAGCAUUCCUUCUGGUCAUCAGUGGUGCUUUGCUUCACGUGUUUGCUUGCUGUAGGAGAUGCAGGGGUUACAUUUCUGUGCCUGUUGUGAUUUUAUCACACAUUGCCUGAGAGCAGAGCUUGUUUAAGUGUUUACUUUGUGUUCACUCAAAACACAAAUCAGUAACACCAAACGCAAUGAAUUUAAGGCCUGAAGUCUCCCACUUGUUUACAAAAGAACAAUGGCCAAGUGGCUAUAAAAUAUAAUUAUCAUAGGCUUUGGAGGAAGGUCAGAAGUUCUAAAAAUGAACAAGCGUGGUAUUUUCCUCAACCUUCUGUUCGUGAUUUAACAGCUGCCAGAGGAUUUUAAAUAUGAGAUGCUGAGAUGGACUCUGUAUCUUACUCAUUUAGAGAAUAAAAGAGGAAAAGGUGAAUUGUAGACAAUUAAUGCAAACACUGUUGCUGUUAAUCAAGUUUACUUAAAGGCAAUAAUAAAUGUUUUCCAGGCUAUUAACCAGAAUUAUAUUUCAAACCUUCUAAAAGGAAGAACACUUCAAUAUGUCCGUGAAACUAAACAUUUUAAAAAUAUUUAUUAAUUUUAUGUAUGAUUUGUUUGUGUGUGUGUAAGAGAAAGAGAGAGAGAGACAAAGACAGAAAGAGAGACAGAAAGAGACAGAGAGACAGAGACAGGGUAAGUAGCGGAUGGCUCCCAUGGAACUGGAAUGACAUGAUUGUAAACUGCUUGGUGUGGGUGCCGGGCACCACGCUUAGGUCAUCUACAAGGGUAGUACCUGCUCCUAAUCUCUUAGCCAUCUCUCUCAAACCCAUACUUUAGACACUUUUAUUACUUUGGUAAAAAUCUUGAGCUGGGUAAUUCUCCCUCCUUAAACAGUUCAGCAAACUGAUAAUAGGUUGGGCAAUUUGAGGUCUUUUAGCUGCAGAAUGUAAUGUUUAGAUGUCAGAUGUGUGUAUCAGGAUUCUCUAGAAAGUCCUACUCACCAGGGUAUAUGUAUGCUUUUCUACAGGGAGGAGCCAAUCCAAGUGAUUGUCACCUGUGAUUAUGUGACAUUAAGAUGUUUCAUACUCUGCUCACUGUAGUCGGGAAGCCCCACUGGAAAACCAAUGGGUUACUUCUAUUCAAAGACUUAACCCUUGAAAAAAUAUUAAUCCAGAAUUCCUCCUGUCAAAAGGAAAUGCAGGGACAAAGAGUGGAGCAGCAACUGAAGGAAAGGCCAUCCAGAGACUGGUUCAUCUGGGGAUCCAUCCUGUCUGCAGACACCAAACCCAGACACUGUUGCUGAUGCCAAGAAGUGCUUACUAAGAGGAACCCGGUAUAGCUGUCCCCUGAGAGGCUCUGUCAGAGCUGAAGGAAUACAGAUGUGGAGGUACACAGCCAAACCCCAAUGGAGAAGUUAGGGCAAAGAGUAUAGAAGCUGAAGGGGUUUGCAAUCCCAUAGGAAAACCAACAAUAUCAACCAGUCAGACCCCCAAUGCUCCCAGGGACUAAACCACCAACCAAGAGUAUACAAGGGGUGCACAAGGCUCCAGUUGGGUAUGUAGCAGAGGACUGCCCUAUUUGGCAUCACUGGGAAGGGAGCCCCUUGGUCCUGUGGAGAUUUGAUGACCCAGAAUAGAGGAACACUAGUCCUCUGAGGUAGGAGUGGGUGAGCAGGUGGGGGAGUACCCUCAUAGAGGCAGGGGGAAGGGAGCAGAGGAUAGAGGACUUGUAGAGGGGAAACUGGGCAGGAGGAUAUCAUUUGAAAUGUAAAUAAAUAAAAUAACAACAACAAAAAAAAGACUUAAGCCUGAAGAAUCCACUGAGUCAACAUCAUGGGCUCUAGGAGGAGUCCAAAAGCCUGAGAACCCAGGGGUGGAGGGGUAGAAACCACAGUUAACCUGGAUAGUGACUGGUGUGUGUGUGUGUGUGUGUGUGUGUGUGUGUGUGUGUGUGUCUGUGUGUGUCUGUGUGUCUGUGUGUCUGUGUGUCUGUGUGUUCUGUUCAGACUAACGUUCACUUUUGCCCCACUUUGGUAAAAAUCUUGAGCUGGGUACAAUUAUCCCUCCUUAAACAGCUCAGCAAAUUGAUAAUAGGUUGAAUUAAGAUGGCCUAAACCCAGUUUCAUUCCUCACUUCCUGGACUUGGAACUGAGCAGCCCAGUUAAAUGACUCCUCAACUCCUCCAGUGUCCAUGGCUUGAACACAUCAGAAUUGAGCUAGGGAAAACACGUCCAUCUUAGAAAUUCCAAGCAAAGACAUUGAUGGAGGAGCAUAAGGGUAACCUGUAAGAACAUUAGGGACCCCAUAUCUGUCAGGUAUAAUAUACAGCACCAGAAUUCAGAAUUAAUCAAACCACAGAGAAAUCUGGAACGGAGGCUCCGGUGUGAUGUCAGAUUGGAAGAGUUUACAUAAAACUAGAAUAUACUGGAGAUUUUGUCUGCUUUUGUCUCUGGAAAUAUUAAUUGCUGAGCAGAAAAGGAUGCCUCAGUGACUAUAGUCAUGUUAAUAUCCUUACUAGAGCUGGCAAAGCUAGGACGUGUCCUCCUAAGUAAUGGUUCAAUUCAAUUCUUUUUGAUAAAAUAACUCACUGAAUGACGCCUUGCUACUCACUUGGUAGAAAAGAGUCAUCUCAAUAAAAUAAUAAAUUAACAUAGUUUAGUGCUUCCACAUAAAUAAAUACAUACUUCAUUCUCUAUUAGAUCAAAAUGUUGUAUACUUAAGAUUACUUUAAAUGUAAGAUUCAUAUUCAUAAUAUUAUCCAAUCCCAUUUUACAUUGAGUAAUAUGUGAGCUAUUUGUGUUUUUAAUUCUAAAAUGUAGACACUGUGGUAUUGGAGUCAAAUCUUCUUUGAGAAUAUCUAGGAUAUUAUUUGAAUGUUGAAAAUCUCCAGGGCCUAGCAUUUCUCUCUCACAUGCAUUCUUUCACAGUACCUGUGAAUGUUAGGAAGGCUCUCCUCCACUGAGCUAAGGCCACAGCUCAUUUGUUCAUUUGUUUUGUUAUUAGUGAAAAGUGUUUAGAAUAUCAUAAACUGGUGCUACUUUAUUAAAUAAAAAUUGAUCUAUUGUGUAUUUACUUCUGAAGUUUCUAAAACAUUAUAAGAAAUAGGCCAGCUUGAGUGCAUUCAUUUUAAGAGUUUAAUCUGAACACUGUUAGCCAUGUGUCCGUUGCCUAAGCUUCUGUCUCCUUCAGAGCACUGAUAGCAUCAUCAUCUCAGCAGCUGCUCCCUCGGGACGGCCCUGAGCACUGACUCAUCACGUUGUCCACCUCAUGUUUUAAUUCGAUCAUUAUAAAUUCGGUUUAAAAGUUAGGUGAGUGGGACCUAAAGAAUCUGUUAAAUGUAAACACCUAGAGCAUUAAAUGUGAAUAUCUUCCUCAACCACAGUGGGAGCCCAGGUGCUAAGGGUUACUGCUAGAGUGUAAUUAGACACUUUCUUGUGUUGCCACAGUCCUGUGUGGACAGAGAGACUCGAGAGGUUAAUGCCGGGACGCAAGGCAGGAUGAACAUAUGGAAAUAAAAUGUGUUUGCCUUACUUUAGAAAUGAA